rnacentral:rRNA from 1 species
CAGUAGGGAAUCUUCCACAAUGGGCGCAAGCCUGAUGGAGCAACGCCGCGUGUGUGAUGAAGGCUUUCGGGUCGUAAAGCACUGUUGUAUGGGAAGAACAGCUAGAAUAGGAAAUGAUUUUAGUUUGACGGUACCAUACCAGAAAGGGACGGCUAAAUACGUGCCAG